UACGUAGGGGGCAAGCGUUGUCCGGAAUCAUUGGGCGUAAAGCGCGUGUAGGCGGCUUGGCAAGUCUGGUGUGAAACCUCGGGGCUCAACCCCGAGCCUGCACUGGAUACUGCCUCGCUCGAGUCCGGGAGGGGAGAGCGGAAUUCCUAGUGUAGCGGUGAAAUGCGCAGAUAUUAGGAAGAACACCGGUGGCGAAGGCGGCUCUCUGGAACGGUACUGACGCUGAGACGCGAAAGCGUGGGGAGCAAACAGG
rnacentral:rRNA from 1 species